rnacentral:rRNA from 1 species
UUUAUCGGAGAGUUUGAUCCUGGCUCAGGACGAACGCUGGCGGCGUGCCUAAUACAUGCAAGUCGAGCGGACAGAUGGGAGCUUGCUCCCUGAUGUUAGCGGCGGACGGGUGAGUAACACGUGGGUAACCUGCCUGUAAGACUGGGAUAACUCCGGGAAACCGGGGCUAAUACCGGAUGGUUGUUUGAACCGCAUGGUUCAGACAUAAAAGGUGGCUUCGGCUACCACUUACAGAUGGACCCGCGGCGCAUUAGCUAGUUGGUGAGGUAACGGCUCACCAAGGCAACGAUGCGUAGCCGACCUGAGAGGGUGAUCGGCCACACUGGGACUGAGACACGGCCCAGACUCCUACGGGAGGCAGCAGUAGGGAAUCUUCCGCAAUGGACGAAAGUCUGACGGAGCAACGCCGCGUGAGUGAUGAAGGUUUUCGGAUCGUAAAGCUCUGUUGUUAGGGAAGAACAAGUGCCGUUCAAAUAGGGCGGCACCUUGACGGUACCUAACCAGAAAGCCACGGCUAACUACGUGCCAGCAGCCGCGGUAAUACGUAGGUGGCAAGCGUUGUCCGGAAUUAUUGGGCGUAAAGGGCUCGCAGGCGGUUUCUUAAGUC